rnacentral:rRNA from 1 species
GAUGAACGCUGGCGGCGUGCCUAAUACAUGCAAGUCGAGCGAACAGACGAGGAGCUUGCUCCUCUGACGUUAGCGGCGGACGGGUGAGUAACACGUGGAUAAUCUACCUAUAAGUCUGGGAUAAUUUCGGGAAACCGGAGCUAAUACCGGAUAAUAUAUUGAACCGCAUGGUUCAAUAGUGAAAGACGGUUUUGCUGUCACUUAUAGAUGGAUCCGCGCCGCAUUAGCUAGUUGGUAAGGUAACGGCUUACCAAGGCGACGAUGCGUAGCCGACCUGAGAGGGUGAUCGGCCACACUAGAACUGAGACACGGUCCAGACUCCUACGGGAGGCAGCAGUAGGGAAUCUGCCGCAGUGGGCGAGAGCCUGGCGGAGCGGCGCCGCGUGAGUGAUGAAGGUCUUCGGAUCGUAAAACUCUGUUAUUAGGGAAGAACAAAUGUGGAAGUAACUAUGCACGUCUUGACGGUACCUGGUCAGAAAGCCACGGCUAACUACGUG